GAAGGGGUAGGGAGGGGAGAUGUCGGCAGGGAAGGGGUGGGAGAGGGCAGGGUGGGGCCCACCCCGAGAGGAGGUGUCUUCGGAGCCCCACGAGGCUGCCAGGCACCGCAGGCUCCUUGGCCCUCCCGCAGGGCGGUGAGGCAGCGUCGUUAUCCUGGCCUCCCCGGUGUGAUAACAGUUACGCACGCAGUUAGCGCAUCGGACUGGCGCCCAGUGAACAACCUGAGACACUCAGGAAAGUGCACGAGACGGGAGACAAGGCUGCAGAGAGCAAAGAAGACAGGGCGUGAGACACGAAGGGACGCCUCCGGGGGACAGCGGGACAGACGCUCAAGCGGACAGCAGCCCGCACGCAGGAUGGUGGUCGGUCUCCAACAAGGGGGCCGUGUCCCCGCAGCCAGGACCCCUCUAAACCACGAGUGAACCGCCGCCAGGCUUAGGCUCCCCAAGCCACCCAGCGGCCAAGACCGCCCGCUCAACCCUACGGAGGUGGCACCGGGACGCGGACACGUGGCCAGACGAGGUGAAAGCCCAUCAUGUGGCCACGACGUGCCACUCGCCGGGUCACCGAGCCCCGAGGAAAGGCGAGCCCUCACCAGACACGCAGCCGGCACCUUGACCUUGGACUUCCCGCCUUCAGGACUGGCAGAAGUAAGUGUCUGCGGGUUGAGCCGCCCAGUGUGUGGCACCCUUGUCACUACAGUCGCUCAAGCAGACUGAGACCGAGUCCCCGGGACACAGCGCCUGCAACCCAGCUUCUGGCCUCAACUUUUCAGGCCCAGUCACGCACUGCCAUCUGACUCUACCUAAAGAUCAAUGCCAACGUGGUAGGGUUUGCACAGGACGCUGGAGAAGGCAACUUUCUUAUUCUCGAGCCCACAGAUGCCCAGGUCAGGAGAGACACUUCUCGGUCAAGAAAUCUGUAAAACCCGGGGCGCCUGAGCCUGGGUGGCUGUCGGUGGGGCGGCCGACCUCAGCUCAUCUCGCAGUCCGUGAGUUCGAGCCCCGCGUCGGGCUCUGGGCUGACGGCUCCGAGCCUGGCACCUGCUUCCGAUUCUGUGUCUCCCUCUCU